UACGUAGGUGGCAAGCGUUGUCCGGAUUUACUGGGCGUAAAGAGCGCGCAGGCGGUCGUUCAAGUCGCGUGUGAAAGCCCCCGGCUCAACCGGGGAGGGUCACGCGAUACUGAUCGACUCGAAGGCAGGAGAGGGUAGUGGAAUUCCCGGUGUAGUGGUGAAAUGCGUAGAUAUCUGGAGGAACACCGGUGGCGAAGGCGGCAUCCUGGACCAACACUGACGCUGAGGAGCGAAAGCCAGGGGAGCAAACGGG
rnacentral:rRNA from 1 species